rnacentral:lncRNA from 1 species
CAAUGUGACUAAGACAACCCUAUAUGAAAUACUAAUGAUCCGGAUAAUAAGUCUCAUACCAAUGAGAAAACCAGCCACGCAGGCUAAAAGUAAACCAGCCACACAGGCUAAAAGUAAAACCAGCCACAAAGGCUCAAGCCACACAGGCUAAAAAAAUAAACAAGCCACACAGGCUAAAAAUCAACCAAGCCACAAAGGCUGCCUAUAGGAACUCUGCUAUACACAUCCUAUAUGAUGCAUGAAACUCCACUUCCUUAACAAGACCAACUUGACCUGCGACAUAAUUAAUACUCCCUGUAUUUUUAUUCACAUCCAUAAUUUAUAUUUAUUAGAUCACACCCACAAACUAAUAUUCAUACGCCGCAAAGAAAAGAAGGAAACCAAAAUAUUUAAUCAUAUGAAAUAAAUAGGAAAUUAACAAACAUAUAUAUACACGGCAUGCAUGAGCAAACACAAGGCAUAU